AUAUGUAAGAGGCAGCUUUAUGCUAAACUUGACAAAAGAAAGCCUCAGAGUGGGAAAGUCAACCUAAGAGAGAAACCGUUUAUUUUGUGGGUAAUGCUGAGUGCCCAUUUGAGUGGAGACCUAAAAACCAGACUCUGAGCAGUAGCAUGAACCAAAUGUUAUCCUAGACCUGAAGUUUGGCCAUAUCCCACUGUAAGCAUUGACAUCACCACCUACCUCUCAGAGACAGUUAACAGGCCUGAGGUAUGAUGAAAAAAGAGAGCAACCAGACACAAUAACUGACCAGCAUUCCUUCCUGAUAAUAGACCACUGACCUUGGAGUGGUUCUGGCCAGUCUACAAAGAAUGCGCACUGAGUACCUUAGUGUCCUCUGCUUCACCUUUUGACAUCAGAGGGCAGAAAACUCCACCCAUGCCUCCAGGCUUCCAUGAAGAGGCCUCAAGCUCAGUUGCCCUUGUGCAUGUUUCCGCUUUCAUAAAUAUUUAUGACUCCUCCUGUAGCUAUUAAAUAUGUAUAUUU
rnacentral:antisense_RNA from 1 species